rnacentral:rRNA from 1 species
UGGUAGGAUAGAGGCCUACCAUGGUGGUAACGGGUAACGGGGUGUUAGGGCACGACACCGGAGAGGGAGCCUGAGAAACGGCUACCACAUCCAAGGAUGGUAGCAGGCGCGCAAAUUACCCAAUCCCGACACGGGGAGGUAGUGACAAUAAAUAACAAUACGGGGUUCUUUAGGAUCUCGUAAUUGGAAUGAGUACAAUUUAAAUCUCUUAACGAGGAACAAUUGGAGGGCAAGUCUGGUGCCAGCAGCCGCGGUAAUUCCAGCUCCAAUAGCGUAUAUUAAAGUUGUUGCAGUUAAAAAGCUCGUAGUUGAAUUUCGGGAUCAAUUUAUUGGUCGUGCUAUUGUACGUACUGGUAUUAUUGAUUCCUACCUUCUGACGAACCAUGAUGUCAUUAAUUUGGUGUCUUGGGGAAUCAGGACUGUUACUUUGAAAAAAUUAGAGUGUUUAAAGCAGGCUCACGCUUGAAUACAUUAGCAUGGAAUAACGAAAUAGGACGUUUGAUUCUAUUUUGUUGGUUUCUAGGAUCGACGUAAUGAUUAAUAGGGAUAGUUGGGGGCAUUAGUAUUCAAUUGUCAGAGGUGAAAUUCUUGGAUUUAUUGAAGACUAACUACUGCGAAAGCAUUUGCCAAGGAUGUUUUCAUUAAUCAAGAACGAAAGUUAGGGGAUCGAAGACGAUCAGAUACCGUCGUAGUCUUAACCAUAAACUAUG